CACGGGUGAGUAACACGUAUCCAACCUGCCGUCUACUCUUGGACAGCCUUCUGAAAGGAAGAUUAAUACAAGAUGGCAUCAUGAGUCCGCAUGUUCACAUGAUUAAAGGUAUUCCGGUAGACGAUGGGGAUGCGUUCCAUUAGAUAGUAGGCGGGGCAACGGCCCACCUAGUCUUCGAUGGAUAGGGGUUCUGAGAGGAAGGUCCCCCACAUUGGAACUGAGACACGGUCCAA
rnacentral:rRNA from 1 species